AUAGCCGCCCCAUAGCUGCCCCAUAGCCACCCCAUAGCUGCCCCAUAGCUGCCCCAUAGCUGCCACACAGCCGCCCCAUAGCUGCCCCAUGGCGACCCCAUAGCUGCCCCAUGAAUGUCCUAGAGCUGCCCCAUAGCUGCUCCAUAACUGCCGCAUAGCUGCUCCAUAGCUGCCCCAUAGCCUCCCCAUAGCUGCCCCAUAGAUACCCCAUAGCCACCCCACAGCUGCCCCAUAGCCACCCCAUAGCUGCCCCAUAGCCGCCCCAUAGCUGCCCCACAGCUGCCCCAUAGCCGCCCCAUAGCCGCCCCAUGAAUGUCCUAUAGCUGUCCCAUAGCUGCUCCAUAACUGCCCCAUAGCCGCCCCACAGCCGCCCCACAACCACCCCACAACCACCCCACAGCCACCCCAUAACCACCCCACAGCCACCCCACAGCCACUCCAUUCCCAACCACCCCAUUCCCACCCCACAACCACCCCAUUCCCACCGCAUUCCCACCCCACCACCACCCCACAACCAUCCCACAGCCACCCCAUUCCCACCCCAUAACCACCCCACAACCACCCCAUUCCCACCCCAUAACCACCCCACUCCCCCCCCCUCCCGCCCCCCUCCUGCCCCACAGACCUUCAUAGACGGCGAAGAAGCCCUUCCCCACCCAGUUGCUGCUGCUGCGGAACUCGACCCACAGGCGGCUGUCGCUGGACACGAUGGGCUCGGGCAGCUUGUUGCCGCAGAACCGGCCUGCGCCACGACCGCGCUAUGGGGCGGCUGUGGGGCGGCUGUGGGGCAGGGCUAUGGGGCGGGGCUAUGGGGCGGCUAUGGGGCGGCUAUGGGGCAGCUAUGGGGCGGCUAUGGGGCAGCUAUGGGGCAGCUGUGGGGCACAACAUGCAUGGGGAGCAGGAUGCGCGAUGGGGAGGGGGCUGGGAUUGGGGUGGGCACUGGGACGUGGGGCCCCACUGGGAUUUGGGGUCCCACUGUUGCAUGGGGUCCCACUGGGGUUUGGGGUCCCACGGGUCUGGGGUCCCACGGGUUUGGGGUCCCACAGGUCUGGGGUCGCACUGUUACAUGGGGUCCCACAGGUNNNNNNNNNNNNNNNNNNNNNNNNNNNNNNNNNNNNNNNNNNNNNNNNNNNNNNNNNNNNNNACUGGGGUUUGGGGUCCCACUGUUACAUGGGGUCCCACGGGUUUGGGGUCCCACGGGUCUGGGGUCCCACUGUUACAUGGGGUCCCAUUGGGGUUUGGGGUCCCACUGGGGUUUGGGGUCCCACGGGUUUGGGGUCCCACGGGUUUGGGGUGGCGCUGUGGCACCUCUGAGCGCCGCCUUCCUCCAGAAGCCGUCGCGCACCUCCACGUAGUCGUACCAGCACAGCCGGCUGCGGUACACGUCCAGCACCGAGAAGUUCAGCUGGAUCUGCGGGCAGCGGCGUC
rnacentral:lncRNA from 1 species